rnacentral:rRNA from 1 species
GCAUCGAUGAAGAACGCAGCAAACUGCGAUAAGUAGUGUGAAUUGCAGAAUUUAGUGAAUCAUCGAAUCUUUGAACGCAAAUGGCGCUCUUGGGCCCUCCCAGGAGCACGUCUGUCUGAGCGUCGUUUUUCACAUCCAACACAGCAAUGUGUCGGGCACUGAGGCGUCCCGUUGUAACACACAGGCAUGCAUCUCGGUAUGUGUGUGUGUAAGCGAUCGGUCCCUUCAAGUAGAGCGAUCCCCGAGCUGCAGCAAGUACCCUAACCGGUCUGCUGGUCUCGGCGUGAUAGAAAUAUCAACGUCUGAGCCUGUAGAUGUCAAGGUGGGCUUUUGUACCUCUCAACUCUGGAAUGAUCGAUGGAUACGGAGCAGAGAAGAGCACGAGAGGGAGAGAGCAAUCUCUCGCGUGUUCCCCCUUCUUUGCUGACCAACCAAGACCCCAGAUCAGGCGAGACUACCCGCUGAACUUAAGCAUAUCAAUAAGCGGAGGA